AGAAUCCUCCACCCUCCCUUCUUCCUUUUGCUUCCUUGAGAUUUAUCUGACUGCUUUACUCAAAUGAUGAAAUAUUUAUUGAACAGGUUAUUUGGGAAAGAGGGAAAUAGGAGGCCCCUAACUCGUGGUGGUUGAACCCUCUGUGAAUGUUUCUCUCAGCCAUUGCUUAGCUGAGCUGGUCUGACCCUCCCUAUCUGUUCUGAUCUUAAAGGCUACCCUAGGCUAAUCAAAUACAUGUUUUAGUCUCUAGAAUGGCUGGAACAGAUGGAGAAGGUUCUUUGGUUAAGCCUAGUUUCUCUUCCAGAGAUCCCUUUGAGAUAACUGGCUGAUAAUCCAAUUCUCUGUUUUCCUCAGGUACAAGAUGACAGGUUGAUCAGGAAAUGGCUUCUUUCAUUAGUUGAGGACCAUGGCUGAAAGGAUCUCUUGUCUCUUUCAGAGUCUAGCAGACUACACUCCCCCAACCUGUACCCUGCAGAGCCACUCAUUGGGGACCGGUGAAAGUAGCCAUGGAGCUACCUUAUAAAAGAAAG
rnacentral:lncRNA from 1 species